rnacentral:rRNA from 1 species
CCUACGGGUGGCAGCAGUAGGGAAUCUUCCACAAUGGACGAAAGUCUGAUGGAGCAACGCCGCGUGAGUGAAGAAGGGUUUCGGCUCGUAAAGCUCUGUUGGUAGUGAAGAAAGAUAGAGGUAGUAACUGGCCUUUAUUUGACGGUAAUUACUUAGAAAGUCACGGCUAACUACGUGCCAGCAGCCGCGGUAAUACGUAGGUGGCAAGCGUGGUCCGGAUUUAUUGGGUUUAAAGGGUGCGCAGGCGGCCUGUUAAGUCAGCGGUAAAAGCCCGGGGCUCAACCCCGGCGAGCCGUUGAAACUGGCGGGCUGGAGUUGGAGAGAAGUACGCGGAAUGCGCGGUGUAGCGGUGAAAUGCUUAGAUAUCGCGCAGAACCCCGAUUGCGAAGGCAGCGUACCGGCUCCACACUGACGCUGAGGCACGAAAGCGUGGGUAUCGAACAGGAUUAGAUACCCCGGUAGUC